CUGCUUCAUCCUCUUCAUUACUUGAUUCAUAUUCUUUCUCAUGUGUAGUGGAUUUGGAAGCUACACCAACUUUCUUUGGAGUCUCCUUUAUCUAUUGAUUGUUGUUAUGAUUGAUCUUCAUCUCAUAAGUGAGUAGAGAUCCAAUAAGCACAUCGAGAGAGAGUUUAUCCAAGUCUUUAGAUUCUUCAAUGACCGUCACUUUUAGCUUCUCAUGACUUUGGAAGGCUAUUGAACAUCUUUUUCACCAUCUUCUUGUUUGGAUUGCUAUUCCCAAGUGCCUUAAGCCCAUUGAUAAUGUCGGUGAAUCGAUCGAACAUCUCCUUGAUAUCUUCACUCGGCUUGACUUUGAAUAGCUCAUAAUCCAAUGUGAGAAGACUAAUCUUUAAUUCAUUUACUCUAUUUGUUUUUUCAUGUGUGACCUCAAACUUGUUAUACAUUUCUUUUCCAUUGUUACAUGGAAACUGCAUUGUACUCAUUUGGAGCAAGAGCAUAAAAUAGAGUAUACAUGUUCUUUCCUAGUUAAUCGAGCAUGCUUAUGCUCAAAAGCUUUGCUUUUUUAUUGGCUUCUUUAACUAGUGAUUAGAGUCCAACCAUGACCACUUCAAGAUCUUGGAAAUAGACGGUUGUCCUUGGUCCCUUGGAAAUUCAUCGUCAUGCUUUUGCUUAGAGCUAGUGUAAUAAGAUUGAAAGAGUCGAAUUUUAUGAUUCUAUCCAUCAUAUUGAAUUGAAAAACCAUAAUGGUUGAUGUCAAGUUUGAUGAUGUUACCUCUUCGUUAAACUCAUUUGUUUCUUCAUGAAGUUGCAUGAUUUUGUCUUUCAAUAUGAAGCACUUCAAGCAUGCUUGGAACAUCAAUAUCAAGGAAAAGAUAAUUAUUUUUUCACGUCUCCUUAAGUGUGAACUUUUCUUUACCUUCAUCUUGAGCAUAAAUUUCACAUUCAUGGCCAUAAACUAAUCGACAUUUUCAUCAUCAACUAAAAUUUUGCCCAUAUUAUGGAUUUUUUGCUCAAAAGGUUCUUGAUUUGCAGCAAUUGCCAUAUUUAACUCCACGUCGUGAGUUGGAGUAGCUAGUUCUUUAAAUGAUUUUGGCUUCAUACCUUGGAGAAUGUAAGCUCCAAUUCAUGUCUUGUAUACACAUGUUGAUGGCAUAGGAUUCUAACUUCUCUUUGCAGUUUAGACUUAAAUUUCUCUAGCGAUGGAUGGAACCAAUGAUUGACUCGUCUUUCCAUUUUUUUAAGCUUGUGAGCUCAAUCAUGUGGAUUGUUAAGUUCAAAAUUGAUAUUUGUAGGAAAAAAUAAGCAAUGCUUAGAGCAAUUGCAAUUGCUUUAGACACCAACAAUAAAAAAUGUAGAAGAAAGAAGAAUAUUCACUACUCAAAAGAAUAUUCACUAUCUUAGCACCUUGUACAACAAAUGUUUUCAAGAUUUAACACUUACAAUUUAGACUUCUCACUUUUGUACUUAAGAUCUAGAUAUUUUCCCUUUAAGAUACUAAUCAAGUCACACACUUGAUUAUUUCACUCAAUGCACUCAAAUAAACAUUGCUCAAUGAACAUAAAGUGCUCUCACAAUUUAGUACAUUACCUAUAUAAGUCUCUAAUAUAUAAGUAAUUAAAAUUUUCUAACAUACGAAAUUAUUUGCAAUCAAUCUUCCCUCGAAAUAAACAAGAUAAUAUGCAUAAAAAAUAUCUCCAAGUAACUCAUGAUAAGUCUAGAAUCUAUAGAAUAUAUUUCUUAGUUUAGCUCGAUUCAAUCCAAUUCUCUAAACUUGGAAAAUUGAUUGUUUCGAUCUAAAUCCAAACCAAUCUUUCAAGAUAUGUUGUUAUGUGUAGUUUGGAAAUUAACGAAAUUAAGGAUAGGUUUACAGUUGUCCGAAGCAACACCAAGAAUCAAAGCUUGGUGAAUUUUGUUGUCAAAAUUUUCUACCAUAAGCAUGGUAAGUUUUUUGAAUAGAUAGUGCUACUACUAGUUGGCAGCAUUGGUUUAGACACUUCUCAAAAACUGCCUAAACAAUUUCCCUUUUUGACAAAUUUUUGAAUAAAACCAUGGGAGAACAUACACAACUACAAAUACAAGAGUGUUAAAAUAUUAAUAAAACAUAAUUAAAUAUUUAAAAAUAUUUUACCAAACAAAUGCCAAUUUGCAUGAGUUUAGUAAAGAUAUUUUAAAACUAUUUAAAAAUUUAACUUAGUUAUGAAAAUAUAAGUGAAAAUUUUAACAUAUCGUAAAAAUACUGAACAUAACAUGCUAUAAAAACAUAUGUAAAUAGGUAAAAUGUUGCAUUUGGUACAUGUACUUUUAUAAAAUAUUUAAUGUGGUACUUGUACUUAGAAAAUAUUUUAUAAAAUCAAAAACAUAAAUACUAAAUUUAUAUAACCAAAAACGCCAUAUUAUCCAUUAAAAUAAAUACUAAAGGCGUAUUCUCCAAAGAGCUUCCCAUUUGAAAUCAAAUUUCAUCCAUAUAAAACCCUAAUUGCAAAAAUUUAAUCUUAAUAUUUUACAAAUUUUCUUUCAAAACCUUCACCUUAGUAAAUUUUGAAGAAUAUAAUGGUAGUCGAAAUUAAAUUAUUCAAUCGCCCAUUCAAAACUCAAGCAAGAGAAAAUUUUAUGGAAAUUUUAAAAAAAUUAGAGUAUUAAAAAAAUUGAAAUUUUUUUUUUCAAAAAUUACAAAUCCAAACCUAUUACUACCUUGCUCUUCAAAUCUGCUCUAAAAAAAACUCAACGAAUGAAAUUGAUUUAGGUUUAGUUAUUUGUUUUUUAAUUUAAUUGCAUUCCAUUUUAUUUUAUUUUUUUGGAUUCACAUUUACUAAAAGUGUUAAUUUCAGGUACCAUAACAAUACACAAAUUGAUAGUUCAAAUACUACAAUGGACAUUUUAUGAAAGUACGGAUAACAUAUAAUAAAAUAUAGUUUAAGUAUCACAUAGGAUGUUUUCAAAGUAAAAAUACAAUAUUAGACAUUUUAUAAAAAUACAGCUAACAAAUGUAACAUUAUCCCUUUUUCAUUACAAUACACGUGUUUUGUUUAUCGAAUAGGGAUAUAAAAUUUCAAAAAGCUUUUCAACUACAUAGAAAUCUUGACAACAUUGAAAAUAUACUCAUCUUCGACACUUAUAAUCAAGUCCAAGUAACAUAAAUCAUCAUUGAAGCCGCAAAAAGCUGGAAUGAAAGAACCCUCCCUCCAAAUACAUGAACAAAUUUAGAAAAAUCUAGCCAUGCCUGUGCUAGAUGCAUACCUCUAUUCAACACUCACAUUUGAAUCUAAGUAACAAAGCCAUGUGAUGAAGGAACCUAUGCUGCUGUUGAGAUGCCUGAUGAAGACGGUGAGACGCUAUCAACCGUGAGGAGCUGCUUCGGGGGGUAUUAACAUCCAUCAACAACCUCCAGUAUCAGAACUCCAUGACUAGAUAUUGC
rnacentral:lncRNA from 1 species